UCGCGUGUUAGACAAGCUGCGCCAUGCU
rnacentral:miRNA from 1 species